rnacentral:rRNA from 1 species
ACAUCCAGAGAAUUUAGCAGAGAUGCUUUAGUGCCUUCGGGAACUCUGAGACAGGUGCUGCAUGGCUGUCGUCAGCUCGUGUUGUGAAAUGUUGGGUUAAGUCCCGCAACGAGCGCAACCCUUAUCCUUUGUUGCCAGCACGUAAUGGUGGGAACUCAAAGGAGACUGCCGGUGAUAAACCGGAGGAAGGUGGGGAUGACGUCAAGUCAUCAUGGCCCUUACGAGUAGGGCUACACACGUGCUACAAUGGCGCAUACAAAGAGAAGCGACCUCGCGAGAGCAAGCGGACCUCAUAAAGUGCGUCGUAGUCCGGAUUGGAGUCUGCAACUCGACUCCAUGAAGUCGGAAUCGCUAGUAAUCGUAAAUCAGAAUGUUACGGUGAAUACGUUCCCGGGCCUUGUACACACCGCCCGUCACACCAUGGGAGUGGGUUGCAAAAGAAGUAGAUAGCUUAACCUUCGGGAGGGCGUUUACCUACUUUGUGAUUCAUGACUGGGGUGAAGUCGUAACAAGGUAAGCGUAGUGCU